UUCUGCUCUCUUCCCAGGAGGCUGAUAUAUCUUUCUGGUAUCUGAGGUAGACUCCUAGGGACUAAUCCCCAUCUUCAUAUCCAUCUUAUCCUUCAGACGCCAUGGCUGUCUUCUCAGAAUCAUGUGAUGGGCUCCCUUUCAUCAGAGACCACAUGAAAGCCAAAACAAUCCCUGUCUGUCAUGCUUAGAAAACUUGGCGAUGUACAUUCCACUGACUCUCUUGAAUGCCCUGCGUGCUCAAGCCUUGCACGGGAAUGAGGAACCACCCCACCCUUCGCCCUCCCUGGUGAAUCAGGUUACCAUGAACGAUAUCACUCUCUUGAGGAUAACACAGAGAG